UACGGAAGGCGCAAGCGUUAAUCGGAUUUAUUGGGCGUAAAGGGCGUGUAGGCGGGAUAGUCAGUCAACUGUGAAAUUCCAAGGCUCAACCUUGGAGCUGCAGUUGAAACUUCUAUUCUUGAGGGUAGACGGAGAAAGUAGAAUUCCACGUGUAGCGGUGAAAUGCGUAGAUAUGUGGAAGAAUACCUGUGGCGAAAGCGACUUUCUAGUUUAUUCCUGACGCUGAGGCGCGAAAGUGAGGGGAGCAAACAGG
rnacentral:rRNA from 1 species